GAAAUGUGAUAAGUAAUGUGAAUUGCAGAAUUCAGUGAAUCAUCGAAUCUUUGAACGCACCUUGCGCUCCUUGGUAUUCCUUGGAGCAUGCCUGUUUGAGUAUCAUGAAAUCUUCAAAGUAAAUCUUUUGUUAACUCAAUUGGUUUCUACUUUGGUAUUGGAGGUCUUUGCAGCUUCACACCUGCUCCUCUUUGUUCAUUAGCUGGAUCUCAGUGUUAUGCUUGGUUCCACUCGGCGUGAUAAGUUAUCUAUCGCUGAGGACACUGUAAAAGGUGGCCAAGGUAAAUGCAGAUGAACCGCUUCUAAUAGUCCAUUGACUUGGACAAUACUUUUAUGAUCUGAUCUCAAAUCAGGUAGGACUACCCGCUGAACUUAAAC
rnacentral:misc_RNA from 1 species